AAACCGUGGCCCGGCGGCGUAAUGUAAGUGUGCCGUGGAUUUGAGAGGAUUGUGCCGUCGAGUGCUACUACUCCUACACCGAUUUUGUUGGCGGAACCCUCGAACCCUAAGGCUAUCAAUUUCUUCUCUUUCAUUUCAAUGGAAAACAACGCCGCCGGAAGAUUGGGGUUUGGUAGCGAAGCGAGCAGUGAAGACAAGGGUUUAGACGAGGGAGUGGUUGUUCGUUGUUGUAUUUGAAACAUAUGAAUUUUACAAAUCAGUACCACGGUUUUCAGAGUCAUAUUUGGCCCCCUUAGUUUUGGAUUUUUAACUCUUCCUACGAGUACUUAAAGUACCUGUACUAUAUACCAAACUUUAUUAUUUUCAUUGUUUAAGCAUUGUAUUAAUUACAUUUAAGGAUACCAAAUUAUCAUUUAUAUAUCAUAAUUCAAAUUAAGAAUAUAAUUAUUGAUUCAUUUAUUCUAUGCGUGAUCAUAUAUUCACUUUAUUUCGUUUACUCACCUCUCUCUCCUCCCACCCUACACCCCCAUAAUUUAUCUUCAGUUAAUUCCCCCCCGUGCUACUACUCCUACGCCGAUUUUGUUGGCGGAACCCUCGAACCCUAAGGCUAUCAAUUUCUUCUCUUUCAUUUCUGAAUGCGAAACAACGCCGUCGCCGGAGGAUUGGCGUUUAGCAGUGAAAUGAGCAGUGACGACAAGGGUUU
rnacentral:lncRNA from 1 species